UCAAAUGAGAUAAUAUUUGAAACACGCUCAGCACAGUACCUGGGACCGGACAUAGCAGGUACUUAAUAAAAGCUUGUUCCUUUGCUCCCUCCCCUUCAAUCUUGAAUCUGCCGCUCUUCAACUCGGAUCCGCUGUUCUUAAUGGUAUCUUCUGAUUGCAAAUGCAACUUCUUCCAUGAGACUGACUUUGGAAUACCUGAAGACAGCAAUCACGUCCCUCCCAACUCUUCUUUCUCCAAGCUAAACCUUCCCGGUCUCUCAGCUGAUCUUCAUUCAUCUUUUAUGGCCUUUCACUAGCCUGGUUGCCUUUCCAGCUUUUGAAUGUCCUUCGUACAAUGUAACUCGGAAUUGAACACUAAGGUCCAGACAUGACAGAGCAUUGCCCCCUCUCCCAUCCAUCUUAAGAUCAUAAAUUCUGAGCUGGAAGACUUUAUUAAAAUUAAAAAAAAAAAAAGAGUCCUAUCCUCUCCCGGGUGAGCCGGAAAAGGAAGUCCAUAAAAAUCAAAUGAUUUGUCCAAGCCAAUCGAGGCAAUGAAUGCCGGGUCUGGUAUCCAAA